rnacentral:tRNA from 1 species
GCCGGAGUUGCUCUGCUGGUAGGGGCAACUGGAUUUUCACUCCAGGUAAGACGCGGGUUCGAUUCCCGUCUCCGGUAC